rnacentral:rRNA from 1 species
GAUGAACGCUGGCGGCGUGCCUAAUACAUGCAAGUCGAGCGGCAGCUUGUUUUGCACUAACUUUUUCUCUUCCGCGGAUACAGGAAAAGAUAUUUUCUUUAUCUGUACCGAAGGAGGAACGCUAAAACAUAGAACUUAACUGAUAACAGUAGUUAUAGCGGAGAGGAAAAGAGAGUGCAAAAUGAAGGCGAGCGGCGGACGGCUGAGUAACGCGUGGGAACGUGCCCCAAAGUGAGGGAUAACUUUCGGAAACGGAAGCUAAUACCGCAUAUGAUCUUCGGAUUAAAGCAUUUAUGCGCUUUGGGAGCGGCCCGCGUCGGAUUAGCUUGUUGGUGAGGUAAAGGCUCACCAAGGCGACGAUCCGUAGCUGGUCUGAGAGGAUGAUCAGCCAGACUGGGACUGAGACACGGCCCAGACUCCUACGGGAGGCAGCAGUAAGGAAUCUUCCACAAUGGGCGAAAGCCUGAUGGAGCAACGCCGCGUGCAGG